rnacentral:rRNA from 1 species
CCCUUAGAUGUUCUGGGCUGCACGCGCGCUACACUGAUGCAUCCAGCGAGUUUUAACCUUGCUUGGUAAAGUUUGGUAAUCUGAGGCUAAUGUGCAUCGUGAUGGGAAUAGAGUUUUGCAACUAUUUAUCUUGAACGAGGAAUUCCUCGUAAGCACGAGUCAUCAGCUUGUGCUGAUUACGUCCCUGCCCUUUGUACACACCGCCCGUCGGUGAAUUGUUUGGAUUGCUGUCAGUCUUUUCGACCGUCGGCCAGAAGCUCUGUGAACCUUAGCACCUAGAGGAAGGAGAAGUCGUAACA